UACGUAAGGGGCAAGCGUUGUCCGGAAUCAUUGGGCGUAAAGCGCGCGUAGGCGGCCCGGUAAGUCCGCUGUGAAAGUCAAAGGCUCAACCUUUGAAUGUCAGCGGAUACUGCCGGGCUAGAGUCCGGAAGAGGCGAGUGGAACUCCUGGUGUAGCGGUGGAAUGCGCAGAUAUCAGGAAGAACACCAACGGCGAAGGCAGCUCGCUGGGACGGAACUGACGCUAAGGCGCGAAAGCGUGGGGAGCGAACAGG
rnacentral:rRNA from 1 species